AUAUCAAUAAGCGGAGGAAAAGAAACCAACAGGGAUUGCCUCAGUAACGGCGAGUGAAGCGGCAACAGCUCAAAUUUGAAAUCUGGCUCUUCCAGGGUCCGAGUUGUAAUUUGUAGAGGAUGCUUCGGCGCGGCUCCGGUCUAAGUUCCUUGGAACAGGACGUCAUAGAGGGUGAGAAUCCCGUAUGUGACUCGGCUGCCUUCUGCCAUGUGAAGCUCUUUCGACGAGUCGAAUUGUUUGGGAAUGCAGCUCUAAAAUGGGAGGUAAAUUUCUAUCUAAAGCUAAAUAUUCGGCCAGAGACCGAUAGCGCACAAGUAGAGUGAUCGAAAGAUGAAAAGCACUUUGGAAAGAGAGUCUAAACAGUAC
rnacentral:rRNA from 1 species